rnacentral:rRNA from 1 species
GACGAACGCUGGCGGCAUGCCUAAUACAUGCAAGUUGAACGAUGAUAUUCUCUGCUUGCAGAGACUUGAAGAGUAGCGAACGGGUGAGUAACACGUGGGGAACCUGCCCAUGAGAGGGGGAUAACAUUCGGAAACGGAUGCUAAUACCGCAUAAUGCUUUGGACCGCCUGGUCCAGAGACGAAAGACGGCUUUUGCUGUCACUCAUGGAUGGCCCCGCGCCGUAUUAGCUAGUUGGUGAGGUAAUGGCUCACCAAAGCUGUGAUACGUAGCCGACCUGAGAGGGUGAUCGGCCACACUGGGACUGAGACACGGCCCAGACUCCUACGGGAGGCAGCAGUAGGGAAUCUUCCACAAUGGGCGAAAGCCUGAUGGAGCAAUGCCGCGUGAAUGAAGAAGGUCUUCGGAUCGUAAAGUUCUGUUAUUAGAGAAGAACAAGUCAAGGAGUAACUGUCGUGAAUUUGACGGUACCUAACCAGAAAGUCACGGCUAACUACGUG